UUUUUUUUUUUUUAAACAGUCUUUCUUGCUGUAAGAACUCUUAUAAUGGAGCCUAGUCCUCCAACAGCUAAAGCCUGUGGAGACAGGAAAAGGAAACACGUCAAAUGGUACCUGACUGGCCAGAAGGGAGCUUCACUCACCUGGAGAUGAGGACACAUAUUCCCAGACCUCAAUCCCACCAUGUCACAGGCUUGCUGAGAGAGAUCAAGUUCUAGGGAGAGCCCUGUCUUAGAGCCAAGGGUCCCAAAAGCUUACAGCUCUUGAAGCAAUAAAACUGGCUUGGGAUCACUGUCCCCAAGCAUCCAACAAAGCCUGAGUUUCCCUGUAACAUGCUCUGCUUCUACCUGCCAGCACCUGCCUAUCCCUGGAAACACAUGGCAGCCCAUAGAGAACUACCUACUGACAGGGUGACAUCAAAAGCACCUCACAGGGUUGAAAAGGCCUAACCGUCUCACCACCAACAGCAAUUCCUGAACCCAAGCAAAGAUGAAGCUUAAAAAGUCAGCACCCCAACAGGGCCAGAAGCCACAGCCCAACACUUUGCUGGAAACUGACCUACCAGUAAAAACAGCAUUCUUAAAAACUCAGCGCUGCCAAGGGAUAUAGUUCAAUACAAGAUCACUUGCCUAACACAUACCAGAACCCCAGUUCUGUCUCUACCACAGGAAAAAUAUCUCAGGCUGGAGAUGUACUUCGGUUGGUGGAAUAUCCUCUCAGCAAGCAUUAAGACCAGGAUUCCAUCCCCAGCACCAUGUAAAAUUCAGUAUGGUAUUAUAUGCCUGCAAUCUCUAUCUACAUUAAGAUUAAAAGUUUAAAGUCAUCCCCAAUUUAAAAACAAAUUUGUGGCCAACCUGAGCUACAUGAGACUUUAUCUCAUGCUGAACCACUGACAAGAACUGUGUUCAUCAGUCUGGAACCCAUAAGUGCUGGGUGUAUUUACUGAAGUGUUACAGGGCUGCAGGUGGUGUGCAGCUGACAGACAGGACAAAAGUUUGACACAUGCCUUGGUCCUCUAUCCUUCAAGUAAAGGACAAAAAAAAUUUUUUUGCUUCCAGUGAAUGAAAGCUAUAAUAAAUGACUCCAAUUUCUGCCAA
rnacentral:lncRNA from 1 species